GGAUUGUAGCUCAGUAGUAGAGCACUUGCCUAUCAUGUGAGAGGCACUGGGUUCAAUUCUCAACACCA
rnacentral:tRNA from 1 species